GUCUUGGAGAGAGAAACUGGAUGGAGAGAAAGUACCAGACAAGAUGACUUUCGAUUCUGGGUGCCGCAUGGAAGGCAGCUGAGAAGAGCUUCGUCAUUUCCCCCGCUCAUUUGUGUCAUUUCCACGGCUAUUAGCCUCCCGCAUUCGGACCACUGGGUCCCUACAGUGCCGGUGACAGCUCCCGGUAUAUGGAGCGCUUCCUAACCCCCGUGUCUCUCCACCGCUGACAACACAGCACAAAUUACCCUCUACCUCUCACACUCUCUCAGAGGCACAAUGAGGGAAACAAUGAGACCGCUUUUAAAAGGAGCAGACAGCGAAUAUUAAUAAGCAACUGGCCCAAUUAUCUCAGAGGCUUACAAGCACAGAAUGGGGGAAUGCUUUGCUGAUCUGGCCAAUCUCAAAAAGGCUGCGACUAUGAACACUAAAGCUUGUUAUCAACUCCUUAAUAAGACUGAUGAACUGGAAAACAGAGCCAGAAGGCAUGGUCUACGGGUUAUAGGAUUACCCGAAUCUGUGAAAGGUCCAGGCCUAUUGCGUUUUGUUCGUAAUACCCCCCCCCCCCUAGUUGUGUUAAAUGUUCAGAAUGAAUGUGCUGAUAUCAUAAUUGAGAGAGCUCUGUCUUGGCCCGUUUCGGCCACAUGAGGGCAGCAGACCACGUGUUGUCAUUUUCAAAGUCCUGAAUUUCCCUCACAAGGAGACACUCUGGAAUGCUUCUCGCAAACACCGUAAUAUAUCCUGGGAUGGACAUAAUUUUCUGAUAUUUCAAGAUUACUCUGCAGAACUGACAAAAGCCAGGAAGGAAUUCUCCCCGCUUUGUUCCAGAUUGAUCCAGGAGCACCAGAAGUUUGCGCUGUUGUACCCUGCAAGAUUACGCAUAUAUAGAGAUAAUUCUUUCAAGGACUUUCUCCCCGUACACAACGCGGAAGGCUUUCUUCAGAUGCAGUCGAAUUUCGGAUGUUCAGAUGAAUGAGAUGACUGGUCCCAGUAAACGAUUUCGGAUGUUCAGAUGAAUGAGAUGACUGGUCCCAGUAAACGACAGCAGUGCAGAGGCGGUGUGGAAAGACAAUGUGGUGUAUUCAUACAUGGAUAUCAGACAGAAAGUUUCUUCAUCACCUGCCCUGGAAUAGGUUGCGGUUUGAACAUUGAGGAGACGAUAUGAAUAUAGGCUUUUUUUAAUACAAAAAGAACAAAUUACAGAGGAUGAAUCCAUAUAUAUUAUGAAAUAAAUGUAUUAAUGAGUUUCUUUAAUUUAUAUGGUACACGUGACAACAUAUAUACUUUGUUUUGUCCAUUUGACACUGCCUGUUAGUGUAGCGAUUUCGGGAGUAAGUGGGUCACAAACUCAGGGAGAAAAAUCACAAAUCAAUUAAUGAGAAGUCAGAAAUAUGUUAACACUAAGAGGUAGAUUUAGUAAGAAUUUGUUUUGCCGUCUAUUGCAAUCCAUUGGACAUCGAUGUUGGAUUGCUGUAAAAAUAUUAGAUUGGAUUUGAGUGUCAAUAGAAGUUAGGGUUGAUCUACCUCUUCAUUUACUUUGGUGCCCACCAAUCUGGAUCUCUUUCCGUCCUUCUCCUCUCUUAGAAUUUCUAUAUCCGAAUCUCCUCUUCUUUCUUUUUUCUACAGUCUGCCAUGCCGUCAUCUCUCUAAACUCCUCACUCCCCUCCUCCACCUUUUAACUAUAAAACAGGUUACUAUACUGUGAUUGACUGAUACCGGUUGUGUUUCCAACUAUCAUUGUUUUGGGGGUUUUAUUUGUUUUUCCUGAAAUACGAACAUACCCGAAUUUAGGGGUUCCGAGGCGAAUCAAGUCACAGUUCGGAAUCACUUUGGGGGUCUGAGUGGAGCAGAUUCCUGGCUCAGGUUUGUUGUGAGUUUGGAACUCGGAUUUAAAAACCCACUAGGGUUUUGGAUUACAUGAAAAUGGGUCCAAAUAAAUUAUUUUGGCUGUUUUCUUGAUUUUUCUUGAUGUUUAUUGAUUUUUAUAAUUCUUUUAAAUUCUUUUAAAUCAAUUUUAAAGGAAUCCAAAACCAAACCAACAAACAAAUCCGAAUAAAAACUUUUGAAGGUGGUUUUGCCAAAGCCAAAACCAUAACAUGGGGGUCCAUGCACAUUUCUAAUUGUAACCUUACAAGAAAAAGGGUAUUUAUGGAAGAAAAAAAAAAAUUCAAGGAUGUCCAGCAUAUAUUUUAUUUAAAACCCAGUAGGAUUUCCCAUUCCCGCAGUGAGAUAGAAGUUUAAAUCAUAUGGGAACCUACGAAGACUUACUCAGCUUCUGCCUCCUGGGCCCGUCAGCCAGCGGGUGUAGUGCUGCGUAUCUUAGGUAAGUGGGGAGCACAUGAAAUCCUGCUGCUGAAUUUCCUACAGCCUCAUUGCUGCAGGUGCUUCUGUGCAGGAUGACGCUUAGACAAAUAGAAUCUCUUUUUUUACAUACAAAAGCGUUGCUCAAUGAGAAGUCUAUUUUUGUUUUCACAUUUUCUGUGGGUUCUGUUUAUUUUUAGAAGCAACGAUGGUUAGUAAAUCUGUGGUUAAGCAUUCAGUUAGCUUACUAGCUGGAACAUGCAGCAGAAAAAGAGAUGAAAAGCCAAGAGGCAGUAAAUAAAACCACCAAACCAACGAAAUCAGCAUUAAUAAAUCAAUGUACGCCUUUUUGAAUUAAAAUAACAAUGUUGAACAAUUGUCUUUGUUUUCAUUGUACUCAAGGACAUAGGCAAAGAAUAGAGAUAUGACAUAACUUAUUCUGCGAAUUAUGAAAAGGUAUUUGAUCAAUUGAUGUAAACUAGUACUGUGCAUAGAUGGGAGUAGUGUGCAUCAUUUAGGGAGUAGGCCACUUUGUAGAAGCACGUCAUUCCUUAGCAAGUUUACGCCAUUGCAUCAUUGACCACAUCCCUCCCCUUAAACAAGGUGGCGAUCGUGGUCUGCUAUUACUUAAGAGGGAAUCGAGGUUGAUCUUUUCAUUAGAUACACUCUUCCCUCGCGGCCUCAAUGAACAACUACUGUAGGUCUGUCGUGCUUUUUGUAAUCAGUGUAUUUAAGUACAGUAGUUAGUCAGUGUGAUAUAAUUUUGUCAUAUUUGGAAAUAUCUAUUGUUAACUUCAUUCCACUAUUUAACUUCCUAUAAUUAGGAAAUAUGUUUAUUAUUGACAACAUUGUUAUAGUUUGUCAGAUUAACAUGGGCCUUUAAUUGUUAACUUUAAUCUUGUGACUAGCAGAGUUUUUUUUCCGGACUGGAUCUGUUUAUGAUUAUCUAAUCCACAUAGAUUUUUACCAGAUUUUAUGCUGUGUAUAAUUAAUUCCAAUAAGCGUGUUUUCUCAUUUGGUCUUCAAUGUGUCUAGUUAUACAGGCUGGGAUCGUGCAGUGAUCUUUUCUUAUAACUCCGCUUGUUACAUUAGUUGGGUUAUCUCUAUGUACUCUAUUAGAGGCUGUGUUAUAUAUAUUGUUGUUGUUUUUUAACGUGCAUUAUGCUUUAUGCGGUGUUUGAGUCACUGUGUCUGUUCUUAAAUUAAUUGUAGCUACUUGUAACUAUGUGCUCCGGUCCUGUUGCCAUGACACCGGCGCCCGAAGAUGACGUCAUCCCUGACAGAGUGGGACGCGGCGGGCAAAUGGCGCCAUGGACGGACAGACGAGCUUAUUUAUUUCAGUGUUUUUGUAUGUGGUGGUUGUCCUGAUGAAAAUGUUUGACUAAACAUUGAAACGUUGAUAAAACAGACCCUAAUGCUGUGGUUUCUUUCAUGCCGUGAGUGCAGCCG